UAUGCAAUGAGUUUAAGCUCAAAACAUCCUGCAAAUAUACAUACACAAAAUGAAAGAAAGAAAUAAAAAAGAAAAAAGAAAAAAUGGAAAAAUAGGUCACAUAUUUGUAUGUUUCUUGUUUUUCCAUUUUUUUUUUUUUUUUUUUUUUUCCUUUUUCUUUCUCCUAAUUUGUGUAAUUUUUAUAAAAACAGGAAGGAAGGUCUGAGAUGCUGCAUUUAAAGAAUAGAAAAGAAAAGUCAAUGAAUUUUAAUUUUUUUUUUUUUUUUUUUUAUAAUUCUUAUGAAUUAAAAAGAAAGAAAAAAAAAGUUAUAACAUUCGUUGUUACUUUUUAUUUCACAUAUAUAUAUAUAUAUUCUUUAAUAAAAUUUUUGAGAGAAAAAGUAUUGAACAAAUAUUAAUUAGUUACCAGAAAUAUCAAUCAUAUAUUUAAAAUUUCGUAAGAAGUUUUGUGUAUGGUUUUGAAAAAGCUAAUAAGCAAGUAUACAUUGGUGAGUUCGAUUUUUGAGGUUUUUCUUUAUUCCUACAUCUCAUAUAUCAAUAUUUUUUUUAUAAUUAUAUAUUAUACGAGGUGAUAAUAAGAAAAAUAACUUAAUUCAGACUACUCCUAAAUUCAUUGCUGCAA
rnacentral:RNase_P_RNA from 1 species